ACCCACGUGGUGCCCUCACUGCCUCACUGACUUCCUCGAACACAUGGAUUUCACCAUCCCCACUUCCUCUUCUUCAAUUUCUGACCACCCCAAUUCCUCUUCUUCCCCUUCAGAUUCCGAUCCAUCAUCCUUCGUCGUCGUCGACCCUAUUCCGAUCACUUCCGAUGACAAUUACCUCCUUAACAGCCCUCAAUUUCUCCGUCUUUUCCAGCAGCUUGCAGAUUCGUCCGAUUCUGAUUUCGUCCCCUCUGUGCCCUUCAACCCAUUUACUCCGAUCAAG
rnacentral:misc_RNA from 1 species